rnacentral:lncRNA from 1 species
AGAACUUUCAUACAUGUUACAAAAGAAAGAUCAACUUUUGUUACAUAUACCACACUUAUUAUUAAUAAAAAAAAGUUUUAAAUUAUAUUUCAAGCCAAUAUUAAGAUUAUUAAGAUGUCUUAGAAAAGAAGAAUGCAAAUAUUCUUAUUGAAAAAGAGAAGCCUAGAAGCUACAAAUACUUAGUAUCAGGAAGGAUUGUAGUCUAAGAGAAAAAUGGAGAAAGAUAAUUCUUACUUCCAAUACUCUUUACUUAUAGGUGGUGGUUUGUCCACCAAUGAGGCAACUUCCAUCCAUUUGAUAUUACAUCCAUUUCUACCUCAUCUUACUAAAGCCUCGGUAGUACCACAAUAACUUACUUUACCUCUUUGCUAUCUUUUUACUAUUAGCAAUAUAUUAUGCUUAAACUUUAUGUGGUUGUAACUAAGCAAGUACUUGCUAUUCUUCAACAC